rnacentral:misc_RNA from 1 species
UAAAGCAAAUCACUUCAAUCUUCUUUUUUAUCUAACAUAACUUAAAGUUUUAAACACGCAUGCAGUCUUCCUCAAUAGAAACGAUUUGUUACGAAAUGAUUUAUUGAAAAAGAGGUGUUCAUGCGACUGUUACAAGGGGAUAAGGGGUCACGCUUUAUUGCAGCGAGACGAACAUCUAAACCGGAUGCUUUGGGCUUACAUAUUGCGCAUGCGCGAAUAAUGUAAACACCAUCAUGGCGUUCGAAGAGUCUGUUUAUUAUGGAGUUUGGAAGAUUGUGGAGUGUGUGUCUUUGGCUGGGGUCGUUGAAACGACCGGCAUCGAGGGGACUGAGUUUCGAUUGGAUGAGAAUGGUGAUGUCACAUGGAGAGUAUCAGAGGAUGCUGAACCCAUGCUGUUUUUCUCUUGUGAAACUUAUGAGAUUACACCAGAAACAGGAAGUGGAAGCUCAAGAGAUUCAGCUUUGCUAAAGUUUAUUGGGACUUACGCAGGACAUGUUAUAGAGUUCAAGGCUGAAGUAACAGAUGAUCUCAUGCUUCUAACAUAUGAAAAAUGUUGUAUGCUGCAGUGUCAGAAGAUUUCUUCUAACGAGCCAACAGGGGAUCUACCAUACACUUAUGUCAGUGCCUUAGAGCAGGGUUUUUUCUCUGAUCUCUCCAUCAAAGCUGAAUCGGGGAAGGAGUUCCUUGUGCAUUCUGUGAUUCUGAGGAUGAGCCUGCCUGAAAUGGACUGGCUAAGCAAUCCCCCCCCACUCACAGGCCUGCCAGAAGAGGUGCUGCAGACAAUGCUGCACUAUCUAUACUGCGAAUGCCUGCCUCCAGGCCUCACUGAGACCACUGCCAAAGCAUGUGUGAAAACACUGGGCAAAGUGCAAGGCUUUGCCCAAUUUUCCCACCUCUGUGAAACCUUUCUGAAGAACACAAUGUUAAAGCAACAAAUACAGACAUUGAUUUCUGAAAUGCACAAUUGUUUCGAUCGCAUAAUUGAAUUAUUCAGUGGUCGAGCAAACCUCAACAACCCAGAGUCUCCCAUCAGUACAGAAGCUAAUAUCUGGAACAAUCCAGCCAAACUGUGUUACACUGUCAGGCAAGGGCUGAAAGAGGCAGCCAUUGCUUCUGCUAAACUGUUGCUUCUGUGUGAUCUGUUUUCAAAACGGAAGUGUGAGCUAUCACGACAAGAAAGGCAUGAAAUUAUGAAGCAAGCCAAGUCCAGAAUGCCAGUGUUUCUGAAACAACUCCACAAGUUCUUGGUGGUGCUGAAGCAGCACUCACAGACUCUUACUGCACACCAGCGCUAUGAUUUCGCCUCUUAUCUCGUGCCUGAGAUUGAAGUCAUACUGGACACAGUUUCACGUUUUGCGGUUGAAACCAAAGUGGCUCUGGAACAAGUGAUCAGCUCAAGCAAUGCUGAGCAGAGCCACAACGAACACUCUGACAGACAUGAGAAAGGGGAAAAGAGCAAGAGGGGGAACAUUGGGGAAGUUCUUGGCAGGACAUUAAAAAAUGCAUUGCAUAUGAGAGAACUGAAGAAACUGAAGAAGUUUCAUGACAAGACAACUGCCAGUUUCGUUGAGCUGAUGAAUAGAAAAGAGGACUUUAGCAUCAUGACUGAGGGGGACAAAGUGAGGGCCAUCUCAAAGUACCUGGAGCAGUUAAUAGAUGAGCUACCAGUAACAGUUCUGCGUCUUGAGGAACUGAUCGGAGCACUAGAGCAGAAAGUGCCAUGGACAGAGUGGAAGUACCUAUUCAAGAUGGCAACAUCGAAAAUAUCUUGGGGCCUAAGCAAGGUGCAGUCCAAUCGAGCGUCCCUGCAGCCUCUAAUUGAUGAAGUGUGUGACAUUGUCAGGAGUGACCAGUUUUCAGCAGCUGUUGCUACUCUUGGGCUGCGGAAUAUUGCUGCAGAAAACAGCCAGGAGGGAGGAGCAUGCUCUGAUGGAGGCCGGGCUGGCAAAUCACGAAUGUAUCCGCUUAACCCUGUGGAAUCCUUGUGUGUGUCACCUUUCCCAAAAGAUAGCAAAAUGGCUGGGCGUGCGCUUGAUCUUUUCAGAAAAAGAGAGGGUUCUGACAUGGUCUUUGAAAUCGUCAGCACUGGAGAGGGCGGAGACAUUGUGAUUGACCAUACUGGAGAUAAACCAGUGACAACUGUGGAAGAAGGGGUCAUAGAGGUCGACCACAUUCCAUGCCACAGGGUUAUUGUAGCUAGUCGCUGCGAUUGGUUUCGACGAGCCCUUCUCAGUGGCAUGCGAGAAUCUAUAGACAAGAAAAUUGUCGUCCAUGACAUACAACCUCAUGUGUUUCGACUCUUCCUUGAAGCUCUUUACUCAGGGCAGCUUGAUACGUCUAGCCUGACUACUGAACACCUUGUAGAUAUGAUGACACUGUGUGACAGAUAUGAAAUGGACAGUCUAAAAAUCAGUUGUGAACAUGCUUUGAAGCAUCAUGUAGAUGAAGACACAGCGCUGUACCUACUGAGCCUUGCAGAUCAGCUUGGAUGCACUUCUCUGCAGGAUUAUGUACUGAUUUAUAUUGCAAACCACCCCCAGCUGGUUCAUAGUGAUGUCUAUGAAGACCUCCCAGACAAACUGAAGGAAGAUGUUGAGGAUGCAAUAGCUUGGAAAGGUCUUGAAAGUGAGCGGUGCAGGGAGCCUAGCAGAGGGAUGGACGUGACACCUAGUUCCGUCUCCAGUAUGAGUGAGCUGGAGGACCUGGUGGGCAACAUAGAGGUAGCUGACCGCACGUAUGCACCUGCUGGACACCUUUAACGUGGAGUUUUGUUGGUUUUCAUAUUCAAGCCAUUCUUCUUUUGCAAGGCUUGAAGUUUUCCUGCCCAGGAACUA